AUGGCUGGAGUUGGCUUCAGCUCGGCUCGGAUGCGUGAGCCUGACUGAUGGGGAACUGCCUAAAAGUGAAAUAUUCAAAGGCAUCGCAAGACCAGCCUCUUUACCAACGUGUGAACGUAUCCCGAGGGAGAAGAAGAGACCAGGAGAGACGCUGGCUCCGACCCUCGCACCACGUAACACUGCUCCGGAGUCAAAGCCAGUGACUCCAGGGAGGGAGGCCCAGCUCCUGCCUGUCCAUCUGUGGCUCCCAGCACAGCUCCCCUGCACCCGGCACAUCCCAGCCUUGGCACACGCCUGGCAGCACAACCCAUGCCAACACCUCCCAUCUCCCCUCCAC